GACGAACGCUGGCGGCGUGCCUAAUACAUGCAAGUAGAACGCACAGUUUAUACCGUAGCUUGCUACACCAUAGACUGUGAGUUGCGAACGGGUGAGUAACGCGUAGGUAACCUGCCUGGUAGCGGGGGAUAACUAUUGGAAACGAUAGCUAAUACCGCAUAAUAUUAAUUAUUGCAUGAUAAUUAAUUGAAAGGUGCAAUUGCACCACUACCAGAUGGACCUGCGUUGUAUUAGCUAGUAGGUGAGGUAACGGCUCACCUAGGCGACGAUACAUAGCCGACCUGAGAGGGUGAUCGGCCACACUGGGACUGAGACACGGCCCAGACUCCUACGGGAGGCAGCAGUAGGGAAUCUUCGGCAAUGGACGAAAGUCUGACCGAGCAACGCCGCGUGAGUGAAGAAGGUUUUCGGAUCGUAAAGCUCUGUUGUAAGAGAAGAACGGGUGUGAGAGUGAAAAGUUCACACUGUGACAGUAUCUUACCAGAAAGGGACGGCUAACUACGUG
rnacentral:rRNA from 1 species